CACUCCUACGGGAGGCAGCAGUGGGGAAUUUUGGACAAUGGGCGAAAGCCUGAUCCAGCAAUGCCGCGUGAGUGAAGAAGGCCUUCGGGUUGUAAAGCUCUUUUGUCAGGGAAGAAACGGUGAAAGCUAAUAUCUUUUGCUAAUGACGGUACCUGAAGAAUAAGCACCGGCUAACUACGUGCCAGCAGCCGCGGUAAUACGUAGGGUGCAAGCGUUAAUCGGAAUUACUGGGCGUAAAGCGUGCGCAGGCGGUUUUGUAAGUCUGAUGUGAAAUCCCCGGGCUCAACCUGGGAAUUGCAUUGGAGACUGCAAGGCUAGAAUCUGGCAGAGGGGGGUAGGAUUCCACGUGUAGCAGUGAAAUGCGUAGAUAUGUGGAGGAACACCGAUGGCGAAGGCAGCCCCCUGGGUCAAGAUUGACGCUCAUGCACGAAAGCGUGGGGAGCAAACAGGAUUAGAAACCCCUGUAGUCCCAUG
rnacentral:rRNA from 1 species